rnacentral:SRP_RNA from 1 species
GCCGGGUGUGGUGGUGCACGCCUGUAAUCCCAGCUACUCAGGAGGCUGAGGCAGGAGAAUCGCUUGAACCCGGAAGGUGGAGCUUGCAGUGAGCUGAGAUCGCGCCACUGCACUCCAGUCUGGGUGACAGAGUGAGACUCUGUCUCAA